CCGCCAGUGUACGGAUAAGCAACCGCUGCUGGAAAAAAAUAAAAUAGGGCUUUUUCCCUUCCCGAAUAGCAUCCCCAAAUUGCGCCCGCCAAAUCUCUCUCCCAAAACCCCUUUUCCCUCUUCUCUCCCAAAUCGCCCCAUCCCCAAAUCACGCGCGCGCCAAUAUUUCUCUCCCAAAACCCUUCUUCCCUCUUCUCUCCCAAAUCGCCCCAUCCCCAAAUCCCGAAAGUCUCUCUCUCUCCAACGUCCCUCCACUCCGGCCUCUCUACAUAUGGCUUCCAUUUCCAUUGCUUGUUGAAGACGUUGAACUCUCAGCCGUUGCCCUCCUUGCUGGAACACGCCAAAGUCCGAGAAGGCCCGCAAGAGGAAGAAGCACCUGCAACAGCCGCAGCAGAAUAUUACCCUGUAGAAAUUUGAUACCCAGUCUGUUUUUCAUCACCGAAUCCCCCGGUGGCUGGUGAGUCUUAUUAGUAAACACCUUCUUAACAAGUGCUGGGAUUCGGUGUCUAGGCCAAAAUGGGUAUGAUGGACGAGUUCGAAGCUUCUUUGCAAGUAUACUAUGGGGAUUAGAUACUGACAUUUCUUUUGAAGUGAAUGAAAUCAAGGAAUCUGUAGCUUCCAUAAGCAGGAGAACAGCCGUCUGAUUUUCUCAUCUCAAGCAAAGAAGAUAUUGGUUUCCUCUAAUGGUAUUGUAGCUUGCCCAGUUUUUUAUUUAUUUAUAAUUUUUUUUUUAUACACACUGUUAUUUUCACAUAAGUGAGUAAAUGUCAGAACGUAAUUUUCAUAGUAUCCUGCAGGUAGGAAUUGGGUUACUAAUAUUGCAGCAGCUAAGUGGAGUCAAUGACAUUCUAUUUUAUGCGAGCAAUAUUUUCAAAGCUGCUGGUUUCUGAGGAGUAUAAGCUUGUUCCAGAUACACUUUACCUCACGAUAUAUUUCAUCGACCAGUUUCUCUCUCAAAACUACAUUGAAAGACAAAAGCUCCAG